rnacentral:rRNA from 1 species
UAAAUGUUCAAGCAGGCAGACCAUUUCUUCUGCCACCGAAUACAUUAGCAUGGGAUAAUGGAAUAGGACCCUGUCCUCCUAUUUUGCGUGUUGGUUUUCGAGGACCGGGUAAUGAUUAAUAGGGAUAGUUGGGGGCAUUAAUAUUUAAUUGUCAGAGGUGAAAUUCUUGGAUUUAUGAAAGAUUGACUUCUGCGAAAGCAUCUGCCAAGGAUGUUUUCAUUAAUCAAGAACGAAAGUUAGGGGAUCGAAGACGAUCAGAUACCGUCGUAGUCUUAACCAUAAACGAUGCCGACCAGCGAUUAGGAGACGUUGAAUACAAAACACCACCGUUGGGUCGUGGCGGGCCGUGCCCCGCGGUCCGUCUUGCGCGGCGACACGUGCGGCGGCCACGGGGACCGCGGUCCGUAUCAGCCACCCGACGGCCCGGUGAAUGACUCCCCUAACAGCUUGUGA